UAUAAAAAAAAGUACACAUUAUCUCUCAUCCUCUCAAAUGGCUGCAACAAAAAUGCAAUGUUCAUAAUUCUAAAACUCUUCAACCUCUCCCUAAUCUCUUUGAACUUAUAAACACUAAGCUUUAUAUCAAUUUAUUGUUUUUGUCUCAUGUUUUUCUCACUAAUUUAUCUUGUUUUUGCAGGUUUUUAAUCAGAUGGUUCUCAUCUUCCACUCAUUUAAUGGUAGAUCUAUUAAUUUUAGAUAUGUAUUUUUGUGUGUUCUAUAAAGUCAGAUUUAUCUAAUCUUCCACUCAUUUUUCUGUUUUUAAGUUAUUUGAACAUUUUUUUGAUAUGCAGGUUUUCCAGAUCUGGAUUUGAUAUGCAGGUUUUUCAGAACAAGAAAGCAAGAUUUCAGCUUUAGCCGUUCCAAAAAUAUUUUAGUUUCCCGCUAAAAAUAUUAAAGUCUUCUGAGAGACUUUCAAGUAAGUCGUCGAGGAAGUUGUCUUAAUCAAAAAUAUUUAACCUAAUUGAAUUUUUUGUCUCCCUAUAUAAAAAAAAUUUAUACAUUAUCUCUCAUCCUCUCAAAUACCUGCAACAAAAAUGUAAUGUUCAUCAUUCUAAAAUUCUUCAACCUCGCUUUAAUCUCUUUGAACUUAUAAACACUAAGCUUUAUAUCAAUUUAUUGUUUUUGUCUUAUGUCUUUCUCACUAAUUUAUCUUUUUUUUACAGGUUUUUCAUCACAUGGUUCUCAUCUUCCACUUAUUUAAAGGUAGAUCUAUCAAUUUUAGAUAUGCAUUUUUGUGUGUUCUAUAAAGGUAGAUUUAUCUAAUCUUCAACUCAUUUUCUCUGUUUUAAAGCCAUUUAAACGUUUUUGGAUAUGCAGGUUUUCAGAUUUGGAAGACUUCUGGGACGACUUACAUGUUAGUCGUGUAAAAUAUAAUACGCUAGACGACUUCCAGUGAAGUCGUCUAGCGGGGUCUUCUCCCAUGUCUCUCCCUUUCAUAACAGAUUUUGAGCGUUUUGGUAAGUUUUGAUGUCUGUUUUUUCUUCAUUUGGUAACUUUCUGUUGUAUAAAAUUCUUACUCUUUUUCCCAAACUAAAACUCUCCAAACCCACUCUAAUCUCUUUGACUUGAAAACACUAAACUUUAUAUGAAUUUUUCAGUUUUGUCUCAUGUCUUUCUCACUAAUCUAUCAUUUUUUUGUAGGUUUUUAAUCAGAUGGUUCUCAUCUUCCACUCAUUUAAAGGUAGAUCUACUAAUUUUAGAUAUAUAUUUUUGUGUGUUCUAUAAAUGUAGAUUUAUCUAAUCUUCCACUCAUUUUCUCUGUUGUUAAGUCAUUUGAACGUUUUAUGAUAUGCAAGUUUUUCAGAUCUAGAUUUGAUAUGCAGUUUUUUCAGAUCUGGAAAACUUCUGGGAUGACAUACCUGUUAGUCGUUUAAAAUAUAAUGCUCUAGACGACUUCCAGGAAGUCUUCCAGACGACUUCCAAGAAGUCUUCCAGACGACUUCCAAAAAGUCUUCCAGAUAACUUCCUUGAAGUCGUCUGGACCUCCUGGAAGUCGUUUGGACUUCCUGGAAGUCUUCUGACGAAAUCUUCUUCUAUAUCAAGUGGAGUCCAAGCUUGUCUUUGUACAUGAAAGAUCUAUAAUAGUUUUGUUUGUGGUCUGUUUUGUGAUUUGCAUGUCUACUUUUUUAGUUGUGAAUUUCUUGUAAAAUCAGUAAUAAUGUUUCCCAAGAUGUAAUAUAUAUGCUAACAAUGUGUUUACACAUUUACAAAUCAAUGAAAUAAUAGAUUUCAAUAGUCUUUUUCUUAUAUUUGGAUCUCUCAUAUGCAAUAAUAAACUCCAAUGGCCUUCUUCUCAUCUUUAUAAACAAGAAUGUUGGUAGCCUCAUAUUGAUACAACAUUUUAAGAAGCAUUUUAACCUUUCUUCCAACUCAUAACAAUAAUCAUCAUUGAUGUCUAUAACAAUAUUACUUAAAAGAUGGAAACAAACAAUAGUAACUAGUCAAAGCAUAUCACAUUUUUUACAAGUUUGUGUUGAAAAACUUAGUCAAAUUUAGUAAAAGUAAGGGAGAAAACAUAUUUUGAAAAUAUGAGUUUUACAUAUCUUGAAGCUACUUAUCACUCUUAAAAAUACAAGUUGUUCAAAAACUAGCGUAGAAGACUUCCACGGAAGUUUCCCGGAUCAGUUAGAAACUGUAAUUAACGUGAAUGUUGGUAACUUCGUAAAUAUCACCAAUUAAGUUAUAAAUUUCAUUCAGUAGCCCUAAUAUUAACUAAUAUACAUGAAUUAACAAAAAAAUAUUAAAAAGUCUUUAUAGAUUUAGAGAAAAUGAAAGUUUAUUAAACAUUGACGCAGACGAUUUCCACAGAGGUCGUAUGGACGACUUCUAGGAAGUCGUCCAUUUAGGUUAAUUUUGCAAUUGAUUUUUUUCUAGACGACUUACACGUUAGUCGUCCACCUUUGUUUGAUAAUUGAUUUUUUUUCAUGUAAGUCGUCUAGGAAAAACGGGUUAGUUUUGCAUUUGACCGGAAUGUGUCAGAAAUUUGACUUUUCAUGGACGACUUACAAGUUAGUCGUCCAGUAGAAUAUUAAAAAAAAAAUAUUUUGUUUUUUUUCUAGACGACUAACUUGUAAGUCAUCUCAGGUUAGGUUUGCAAUUGAAAUAUUAAACAAAAAAAUUUUUCUAGACGACUUACACUUUAGUCGUCUCGAUUUUUUUUCCUAGACGACUAUAUUGUAAGUUGUCCAAGAUAAGCAAGGUUUGACCAGAAUCUCGGAAUAAAAUCAUGGACAACUUACAUGUAAGUCGUCGGACGGACGACUUCCGUGUAAGUCGUCUAGAAAAAAAAAUCUUUUUUUGUUUAAUAUUUCAAUUACAAAACUAACCUAAGUCGUCUUGAAAAAAAUAAUAUUUUUUUAAUUUUCUACUAGACGACUAACUUGUAAAUCGUCCAGGAAAAGUCAUAUUUUCUUACACAUUCCGGUCAAAUGCAAAACUAACCCGUUUUCCCUAGACGACUUACAUGUAAGUUGUCUCGAUUUUUUUUUAUCAAACAAAGGUGGACGACUACUAACCUAUAAGUCGUCUAGAAAAAAAGUUUAAAACUCAAUUACAAAACUAACAUCUGCAUUGACCAGACGAAUUCCAUGUCAAUCGUCUACAGCCAGAAGACUUACAUGUAAGUCGUCUGGACGAACAGAUCUGGAAAAAAACUCAAUUUCAUAGUUUCAACCAGUGAGAUAACUUGUUUAGCAUACAUAAGUCUUUUCCAAACACCCAUAAUCUCAAACAAAAGUGACCCACCAAGAAUCGUAAGCUUCAAUGGCUUUAUGAACCAUACAAAUUUUAGAAUCAAAAUCUUGGAGUUUUUUGGAUGAAUAUGGAGAAAAAGUGAAAGGGAUGUUGUUUUUAGUUCAUAAGAAUUAAGAAAGAAAGAGUGUAAAUCGAUUUUUAGAUGCAUUAAGAGUUUCAAAUUGGUUGUUCAUGGUGGUUGGUGUAUUGAUGGCAAUUGCAAUAUUGUGAAUACUUGAGGAAGAUGAGGAUGAUAGAGUAAAAUGCAUUUCGAAAAGAAAAAAAAAGUGAUGGCAUUUUCGUAAAUAAUCUUAACUUUGAGGAUGAAAGAGGCAAGUCAAAGUUUCAAAAAAACAUGGGUUAGUUUUGUGUUUGACUUCAAGUUUUGAGUCAUAUUUGCAAAAGCCCCCUUGAUUCUUUUUAAUUUUUUGGUUUGGUCAUCUUGAGGACAUAUUUUGUGAAAUUUUAGUCGUUGAUGUUGAUAUAACAGAUUUUGAUCCCAUUGCUAAUUUUGCUUGCUACAUUUCUUUAUAAAUAUUUCUUUUUAUAUGCAUCCCGUAUAAAUAUAGUGAUAACCAUAUGAAAUUAUUUUUUCACUUUUGCAUAUGGUAAACAAACAAACAAAUGUUUUACAUGGAUCUUUUGUAAAAUAAACAUUUUUAACACCCGAAGGUUACUGGUCAUUAUAAUUCUAGACCGAAUAAAUUAUUAACUGAUGUUUUUCAUACAAGUUUAUAUAUUAUUAUCUCAAAAUAAAAUAAUGAUUUAUCUCAAUGUGAUAAAAAAAAAUCUUAGCAUCAUAUAUAAAUAGCUUUUAAGAACGACAAAAUCAUUGCUUACUAACCACCCAUGGAUGUUGGAACCCCUUUGUUUUAUUAUUUUUUUCUAAGUAAAUUCCAUCAGGUCUAGCAAUCCAUGAACGUUUCUCACCACAUCGAUGCCUCAUGGCUCCUCUGUAAGCGCGCCAUAGUAUUUGAGAAUUUUCCACUUUAUCUCCAUGUCGUAAAAGACAACGCCAUACAAUUCUGUUUCCCAUUCCUCUUUCUUUAAGAAAAAUUUGAUAUUUAUCAUUGAAUUUUAUCUCGUGGAGAUUCUCAACUUCUUUUUUGUUGGAUGAGCAAUUAACUUUGAGAAUACUAGCUGGAUUAAGUUUAUUUUGAAAUUCUAAAGUAUUCAUGAUGCAUUUUUCUUUUCGACAUUGUGGGAGAUGGUAAUUAUCAAUAUUACACACUAUACCUUCAUUCAAACUAAAACACAUAGCAAUAACGAGCAUAAAUAUGAGGUAAUUCAUCAUCUUUUAUCUAAAAUAUUUGUUGGAGAAAGAUGAUUUUACAGACAUUACUGUGGAACAUAUUUAUAGUUUUUGGUAAAAAUUCUAUAAUAUUUUAUUAAAUAUUUGGCUAAAAUAAACACAUAUAUGAACCAAUCAAAUUUGUGGUAGAAAAAGCAUUUGAAGUCGAGAAAUAAGGUGAACCAAAUAAGAUUAGACCCAUUACUUAUGUGGGUUUUAGUAUUGACAGUUAAAAACUAAAACCAAAAGCUAAAAACAAUGCACAUACAAUAUUUAAUCAAGUUAGUUUUCAAAGAAAAAUUUGCAAUCAUUAAUUGUAGAAAAUAAAAUUUUGACCUCACUUUCAAGAACCAUAAUAUAUUGAGCCUUUUUAAUAUUUAAUUCUACAAUAUGUGACCAUUUAUUUAUAUUAAUAUUUAAUCUAAACUAAUAGUAUAUCAAUCAAUGAAAUCUAAUAAUUUCAGCAAGAUCGCAUUAAAUUUCAACUUUGCAUUUUAUUCAAUUUUGGAGCAUUAUGUAUCAUCUAUAACAAUAUAGAUCAAAUAGUUAUACUAAAAGUUUCAUAUAAUUAUUUUGAAUUAAAAUUUGAAAAAAUUAUUUAAUUAGAAAAAAAUUUACACAUCAAUUAAAUAUACAGAAUGGGUGGAGUUAAUUAUAUUCAACCAUAACUAUAUCAUUUACAAAGAAAAUUACCAUCUCUGCCAUAUAAAAAGGGAAAUUAGGCCGUAUGGCUAAGAAAAAAAACAAUAUUUAGCUCUAUAGCCAAAUGUCUUACUAUACAUUGAUGUAGAGUAUAUUUUAUAUAAUAUUACCCUGCUAGCCUUCAACGCAACCGGCGCAAUCUGCAGUUCAAAAAAAAAAUUAUUAAUUACUCAACCAAAAAAUAAUUACGUGUGGUCAUCAGGAAGUCACACACAUCUCCCAAAAGUAACUUCUUCUUCUUCGUCACUUUCCAAGAAGGUGAAAAGUUUCUGCCGAUAUUUGUUGAAUCACGAAAUCAAGCAGCAGAUUCCACCGUAUAUUGCUCUUCCAUCCACCGCGGAACCAUCGUCUUCCAUUCAAACUUGUCAUAGGUUCGUCAAGCGAAUGCGCCGAUUCGAAAUUCGAAGGAGAUUCAGAAGAGUUCGUAAGUGUGAUCGGCAUGAACGACCACCAUAGCCUCAUCUCCUUCAUAUUGGCGAUUAGAUUGAGAUAUGUUGCAAUAUUGUAAGUUCUCUGUUUUGUGCCAUAGAAUAUAUUAUUUCCAUGUUUUUCCCCUUAUUUGGAAUAGAUUCGGCCCUAGUCUAUUCUAAGUUGAUAAAUCUAACCCAUCGUUUCGGUUGCAUGUUCGAUCUAGUAAGCUGAGGCAAACAAAUUGAUUUAGAAUUGAACUUUUCUUGGAUCGUCGUACUUAUUUGUUUACUGCGAAGGGGAUAGUCAUUUUAGAAUGAAAAGUCCUUUUAUGAUAAAACAAGUUUAGUUCUUUGUGAAAUGGAAUAUCUUAUGGAACAUGUGCUAUUUGAAAUGGAAAAUCUUAGUUUUAGAGACUGGUUACGUGCCAUUCCAUUCUCUGCUAUUUCUGAAGAAUCGUAUCAAAACUAAUAUAUUAUUCGUUUUCCAUUCCAUUUGACCUUCAGUUCCUUUCCAUAUAUAUAUAUAUAUAUAUAUAUAUAUUCUAUAUUAUUUCCGAUGGUAUAAUUCUAAUUGCAUAUGUUACUUCUUUACUCGCAUAGGCUAUUUUCGAUUGACACAACUAAACAUUUAACCUAAGCAUAGAGUAAUUCAUAUACUAGUAGCCUAUCUCAUAUGCUGCCAUUUCCUUCCAACUUGUAAACUAAUGUGUGCUUAUUCUUCAUUGUGUUUUUCAGGUUUGUCAAGGAUGAGCUGGAAGGGUAAUAGUAUUUAUAUAUUAUUUUAUGAAAUGGAACAGCUCUUCUCUUACUUGUCAUGUUUAUUAAUAUAUAAUGUACUAUUUAGUAAGUUAUAUUCCAUUCGAUGCUUGAAAGAAAUGGUUCAAUCUUGUUGUUUGUUGUUUCAUGUUCUAUUGAUAUGAGUUUUGUAUCGAUGUAUACAUGUGUUUUAUAUUAGUCUGUAUAUGAUUUUGUAAAGGGAGAAUAAUAUAUUGAACGUAAAUGGAACAUAAUUUAUUAUGACAUCAAAUAAAACAAAAUACAGUGUGAUGUUGAAUGGGAAUGAUAUUCAUAUUAUCUUGUCUCUUCCACCUCUUUUAAUGACAUUAAUCUUUAUUUUUUUUUGCUACAAUCAAUCUGAAUUUGGUGUAAGCAUUACAUCAUUCCCUGUAAUCAUAGACACUUCAAAAUUUUUGACAAUAUAUAUGUAUUGUGCUAUAUCAUUUGUUACAUUUUCUAUUCUAUAUGCUCAUGUAGAAUGAAAAUGCAUGUUACUUGCAUUUCGAAAUUUGGGUUUUCUUGGCCCGGUGAAUAUAGCUUAUUCUGGUGUUUAUCAGUGGUGGUAUACAAUCGGUUUACGUACUAAUGAAGAUCUUUAUACUGGAGCUCUUUUUCUAACUUAUGAAAGAUUGAGGUUCAGAUUGGAUAAAGGUUUAUAUUCCAUGUAGGGUUUAGUGAUUAGGGCUAGAAUUUAGUUUAUGAAAAUUGAGGUUGACAUUGAAUUAGGAUUUAUAUUUCCGUGUAGGGUUUAUAUUUGGGUUUAGGGUUUAUAUUUGGGUUUAAGGUUUAGGGAUUAAAGUUUAGGGUAUAGUAUUUUGUAAGUGGAGGAGGUAAAGAUGGAGUUAGCAUUAACUUCUUCGAUGAUAUCAUAGACAUUUCAUAUUUUCACCAAUAUGUAUUAUGCUAUUUAUUUAAUUUCAAUCUAUUUAGGUUGAGGGCUUAUAUUUGGCUUUAGGGUUUAUAUUUGAGUUAAAGGUAUAAUAAUUAUGGUUUAAGUUUAAGUAUUUAGGAGUUUAUGAUGGGGUUGUUAUAUGGUUUAUUAUUGAAGGGUUCGGAUGGGGUUGGUGUUAUAUACUAUUUUGGUUAGAGGUGGGUGAAGAUUGAACACAAAUGCAUUAGUUCAGAAGAAUAGUCUCCAUUCCAUUUUAGAUAGUAUAAAAUAAUAGGUCAAAUUUUAUAUAUUUUUAUUUUAUUUUAUUUUUAAAAAAUAUUAUAAUUAGAAAUUAGAUUUAAUAUUUGGGUUUUGGUUUAGAGAUUCGAGUUUAAAGUUUAGUAUUUAGGUGUGGAGUUGAGUUUAAGGUUUCUAAUUAUGUUUCAUAUGAAACAAACAUAGUACUUUUAUAAAUGGAAUAAAAUAUUUAUAUAACACAGUUAACAUAUACAUGGUAAGAAAGCAUGCGACGUGGAUAUAUUUGCUUGACUCGUUAGGUAACAGUACACAGUGAAUGUGGUCCAUCUCUUAAAUCAUCGAUGUCAUCUCUCUUUUUGUUUUGACCGAUAACUUGUUUUCAGUAGAGGUAUAACCGGCUUGGGAGAAGACAAAAUGUUAUUCACUCAAUAACGUCAAAAUCAUAGUCAUUUAUCUAAUUAUGCUCUAGAUUUUGGCUAUCUCGCAAAUUUAACCAUAUAAAAAUGGGCAGAUACUCUCAUUAAUUGAUUUUAUAGUCUAAUCUUUUAAAGUAGAUUGAACAAAUUGAUUGACAAUACAAAACACCUCCGGAUUACUUGAGAGAUUUUGGUUUUUUCAUUUGAUACCUCAAUUACUUGGUAAAUUGGAUGCGUGAGAGUUUUUGUUAUUUUCAUUUGAUACCUCAAUCACUUGGUAAAUUGGAUUCAAUGCCACCACGACGCCUAUUUCUUGUAGAGAAUUAUGUUAAUAAAAGACAUUUAAUCUAAUUUAUCGUGCAGUUGCCAUAAAACUAACUUUUGCUACUUUGACAUUUUCUACUUUUUCAUUGUCUAAGAAAUUCAAAUCAAUUAAUUGAAAAGCCAAAAAUAUGGGAAAAUAAAAAAAAUGUGAUAUUAACAUAUAUAUACACUAAUAAACAAAUUUGUGGUGAAAUUAUUAUCGAAAUAACAAUUUCAAAACUGGUCAACAAGUGUCAGUUAACCCAAUCUACCAUAUAU